rnacentral:rRNA from 1 species
GAUGAACGCUGGCGGCGUGCCUAAUACAUGCAAGUCGAGCGAACAGACGAGGAGCUUGCUCCUCUGACGUUAGCGGCGGACGGGUGAGUAACACGUGGAUAACCUACCUAUAAGACUGGGAUAACUUCUGGAAACCGGAGCUAAUACCGGAUAAUAUAUUCAACCGCAUGGUUCAAUAGUGAAAGACGGUUUUGCUGUCACUUAUAUAUGGAUCCGCGCCGCAUUAGCUAGUUGGUAAGGUAACGGCUUACCAAGGCAACGAUGCGUAGCCGACCUGAGAGGGUGAUCGGCGACAGUGGAAGUGAGACACGGUCCAGACUCCUACGGGAGGCAGCAGUAGGGAAUCUUGCGCAAUGGGCGAAAGCCUGACGGAGCAACGCCGCGUGAGUGAUGAAGGUCUUCGGAUCGUAAAACUCUGUUAUUAGGGAAGAACAAAUGUGUAAGUAACUAUGCACGUCUUGACGGUACCUAAUCAGAAAGCCACGGCUAACUACGUG